AGCGAACGCUGGCGGCGUGCCUAACACAUGCAAGUCGAACGUGAAAUGGGGCAACCCAAAGUAAAGUGGCGUACGGGUGAGUAACGCGUAGGUAAUCCACCCCAGAGUCUGGAAUAACCGGCCGAAAGGCUGGCUAAUACUGGAUAGAGCGACGGAAUCCGUAAUUGGGUUUUUCGGGAAAGGGAGGCCGUAAGGUCCCUCGCUUUGGGAUGAGCCUGCGUCUCAUUAGCUAGUUGGUGGGGUAAUGGCCCACCAAGGCAUUGAUGGGUAGCUGGUCUGAGAGGAUGAUCAGCCACACUGGAACUGAAACACGGUCCAGACUCCUACGGGAGGCAGCAGUGGGGAAUCUUGCGCAAUGGACGAAAGUCUGACGCAGCCACGCCGCGUGAGUGAAGAAGGCCC
rnacentral:rRNA from 1 species